rnacentral:lncRNA from 1 species
CAUCAUGGUGGAUGAGAGAUCAAUAAAGAGUUUAUUUCAGGGGAUUGGGGCAGUUCCUCUCACCCUGCAGAUCAAGAUGCCCUGAGGGCAAAGAGCAGAGGGGUGCUCUCUGGUGGCCCAGCAGUUCUGCCCCAGGGGAGAGUUUUCUCUUCUACUACAGCGAAAACCCACAGGACGCUGCUUCAUCCCAGAACCAAGGAUACCAGGAAGGAAGGUCAGAGUGAGGAGGUGUCUGAGUGUUUCAGAUCACACAGUGACAUACUGCUUGAUGGCUUCAGAAAUCCUUCAUGAGCUGGGAGACAGCCCCAGAGGUGACAGGAAAAAUCGAUAUACUUGAAAAGCCAUGGUGGCAGGAAUUGGUCAUCACCCGCCAGGAUUCUACACUGCCCUACAGGUGAUCCCAACUGAGGUUGCCAGAGGAACAGGAUGUGGAAUGCAGUCGCGUUUCAGAGAGGAACCUAAAGUCAGAAUGGACCAGGGGUCUUGCCCUGACCUCUGCCUCUUCACCCAACCCCCACCUGAAUGACUCACCCCAGUUGCACUCACAGCCGAGACCCACUCAGCCCCUGGACCAAUCUAACACAGGGCAUGGUAAAUCCAGGAGUGAAUACUACUGAGGCAUCUGCCAGGGCAUAGGAAACAGUAACAAGAGGACGGCUCAGCUAGUGGCUCAGACUAUCUUGCCCCACACUCUCCAAUAUUGAGUGGGGAGUAAGCCUUGAGCCCAGGAGGUUGAGGAUUCAGUGAAUUAUGAUCGUGCCACUGCACUCCAGACUGGUGACAGAGUAAGAGUCUGUCACACAUGCUCACACACACAAAUUAAAUUGUGUGAGCAGUUGUCACACAGGGAGAUCUGGAUGCACUCACUGUGGACCCAGGUCUCAGGGAGCAGGAGGGUGUUCUGUAUUGUGGGAACACGAGGGACACACACGGGAUGGGGCAUUUGUGCCUAGCUUUGAAGGGUGGCUGGCCCUUU